GAACUCUAACCCCGACUGUGAUCAGGUUUCUCAGGAACUCUAACCCCGACUGUGAUCAGGUUUCUCAGGGACUCUAACCCCGACUGUGAUCAGGUUUCUCAGGGACUCUAACCCCGACUGUGAUCAGGUUUCUCAGGAACUCUAACCCCGACUGUGAUCAGGUUUCUCAGGGACUCUAACCCCGACUGUGAUCAGGUUUCUCAGGGACUCUAACCCCGACUGUGAUCAGGUUUCUCAGGAACUCUAACCCCGACUGUGAUCAGGUUUCUCAGGGACUCUAACCCCGACUGUGAUCAGGUUUCUCAGAGACUCUAACCCCGACUGUGAUCAGGUUUCUCAGAGACUCUAACCCCGACUGUGAUCAGGUUUCUCAGAGACUCUAACCCCGACUGUGAUCAGGUUUCUCAGGGACUCUAACCCCGACUGUGAUCAGGUUUCUCAGAGACUCUAACCCCGACUGUGAUCAGGUUUCUCAGGGACUCUAACCCCGACUGUGAUCAGGUUUCUCAGGGACUCUAACCCCGACUGUGAUCAGGUUUCUCAGGGACUCUAACCCCGACUGUGAUCAGGUUUCUCAGGGACUCUAACCCCGACUGUGAUCAGGUUUCUCAGGAACUCUAACCCCGACUGUGACCAGGUUUCUCAGAGACUCUAACCCCGACUGUAAUCACAGCUUUAUCCUUCAGCACUGAGUCCGUUGUCGAGUCAGCCGACCAUUCUGUAAGCGUUCUUAAGCUUUUCUUUUUGGUUCAGGCUAAAACUACCAUUUUCUGGAAACCCAUUUUCUUCCCAUAAUUGUAAUUGUGCACACAACCUGUUAUAUAUAAUUAUUAUUUCAUUCUUUAAGGUCCCGGACCACAACUUGAGUUUUCAGAAUUUGACUACGUCGAGGUGGGACUCAGGGGACCCAGUCAUUGGCUGCGCAGCUUUACCUGUCAUUAUAGAUCAGGGCGAACCUGAAUUAGGAUCCCAUCCUCGUCGCCACUUUGUCAUGGAAAUUCUCCACCUGGAAUUCACACGAGUGAGAGUGUUCUAAACACAUUACAGGAAACAGUGCAGUCUUUUCCUCAUUGCUUUAUUCAUACCACCUGGCCGGGAGGAGAAGCUCAUGUGGCAGGCAUAUAUAGGAUACUUAUGUAUAGUUCCUUGUUUGUCAACAAGUUACAUGUGAUUAGACCUCAGCAGAUUUCUCAUGUGAUAUGAACAUGUAUUGUAUUUGAGCAAACCAGUUAUCAUAUGAUCGGACCCUUAGAGGUAUGAACAAGAAGAUAUUGUCUUCUGCCUGGAAAACAGACUGGUCAUCCAUUUCAACCCAUAAGCACAACACAGGGCUGCUCCAGCACUGCAUUUUCUACCUUAAAGUAUUUUAUACAUAAAUAAUAAUGUUCUCAUAUAGCUAACUAUUAUAUUGACCUUCACAAAAGUAUUUCCAUUGUUCAGUGUUGGCAGGAACCUCUGGUGAUCUUACCAGCAACAUCUCAUGAAAACAGCUCACAAGAAUUCAGUUAGAGCAGAAAUUCAGAAAGCUACAAGAUUCAGUUUGCUCAUGUCAACAAAGUCAAAGAUUUAGUUUAGAAAUGGAAUCAAAAUUAAGGUCCAGAUACACUUCAUAUGAAAUCGAUGAACGAAUUGGUGUGAUGUCAUUUAGAACUAAAUCUGGCCAAAAAGAAGGUGUUUUCACCUCUCUGUGCAGUGAAUAUUAUACAUUGUAUCUGUACACAACAAGACAAAAGUCAUCCCUGGGGUAGAGACAGUGAGUAAAUCUAAAAAUGGUUAAACAGUUUGGCAUCCUGAUCUAGGCUGUAAAAUAUUAAUAACAUUUCAAAUAUUAACUGAUUCAUUUCUCUAUUACAAUACAUGCAUUUCUCAUUUCUUGCCAUAUUGCAUAUUUCAGACUGUUGAUUUUCUUUUUGGGCACUGCACAAAGAAUAUGUGAUGUGGACAUUGCCUGUUAUUAAUAUAUUUAUUUAUAUACAGUCAUUUGAUUGUACAGUGUCAACAUCAAAAGCACAGUGUAUAUUUUAAGACCACAUUUAAAGCUUUUUUUUCUCCUAAAGUUAUUGCAUUCAGCACCUUUUUUAGACCAAAAAGGACCAUUUGUGACCUUCCCCUACAACAGGAUUGACCUUUAAACAUGUAAAGUAAACUGAGACUGACUGUAGUUCUGUCUGUUUUGGGUCUUGAUUUAUUAUUCUUACAACAUUGCAAAAAAUAAGUUGCUAUGUUGUGCCUAAAGUAUGUUCAAUCAAAGGUGAAUCGGUAAGAAAAUAAGUGUUAACAUUUCUUUUGUCCAGUUGUUUGCUCAGAUGGCUGUUAUUGAUGUUGUAAGAUUUUGAGAGAAGGUUUUUUGAAGUUUUGCUUCAUUUUCAAUCGUGAAUGCUGAAACUUUAAUUUAAUGUAUCCCAGACUGUCUUCCAGAAGAGAUCUUGAUGUAGUUU